AGGUCCGAGGAACUCUGCUGGUAAUCGUUACUGCAGUGGCUGCUGCUCCACAAUUUCAGCUCCAUGACAGUAACAAGGGAACCCCAUACGAGUUCGGCUACGGCGUGAGUCAGCCCGAAACCGGAGAUGCAAAAGAACAUCGACAGUUCUUAUCUCCCUCAGGGAAAGUGGGAGGAGAAUAUCGGUGGCUUCAACCCAAUGGAUUGUAUAGGGUAACAAGGUACCACAUAGAUGAUGCAGGUGGAUACCACGCUGCAGUUACUGAAGAAGAUGGCAGCCAGGUGUCUAAUUAUUACUUCAAUGCUGUAGAUUACUCGUCAUCCUCGCAGCCUUUAAAUACUGCUCUAAAUUCAAGAACCAAACAAGGUCUAAACAAUGUGCAAUCUGCAAGGAGUAAUACAAAGGCCUUCGGUGUCUCUCAGUCCUCUAGGAACCAAGAGGACUUCAGUGUCUCUCAGUCCUCU